GACGAACGCUGGCGGCGUGCUUAACACAUGCAAGUCGAACGAAGAGCGAUGGAAGCUUGCUUCUAUCAAUCUUAGUGGCGAACGGGUGAGUAACGCGUAAUCAACCUGCCCUUCAGAGGGGGACAACAGUUGGAAACGACUGCUAAUACCGCAUACGAUCUAAACUCGGCAUCGAGGAUAGAUGAAAGGUGGCCUCUACAUGUAAGCUAUCACUGAAGGAGGGGAUUGCGUCUGAUUAGCUAGUUGGAGGGGUAACGGCCCACCAAGGCGAUGAUCAGUAGCCGGUCUGAGAGGAUGAACGGCCACAUUGGGACUGAGACACGGCCCAGACUCCUACGGGAGGCAGCAGUGGGGAAUCUUCCGCAAUGGACGAAAGUCUGACGGAGCAACGCCGCGUGAGUGAUGACGGCCUUCGGGUUGUAAAGCCCUGUUAAUCGGGACGAAAGGCCUUCUUGCGAAUAGUGAGAAGGAUUGACGGUACCGGAAUAGAAAGCCACGGCUAACUACG
rnacentral:rRNA from 1 species